rnacentral:rRNA from 1 species
AGUCACUGACAUUAGAUACCCGGGUAGUCCCAGCCGUAAACUAUGCGCGUUAGGUGUAUCGGUGACCACGAGUUACCGAGGUGCCGAAGGGAAACCGUGAAACGUGCCGCCUGGGAAGUACGGUUGCAAGGCUGAAACUUAAAGGAAUUGGCGGGGAGCACCACAACAGGUGGAGCCUGCGGUUUAAUUGGAUUCAACGCCGGACAUCUCACCGGAUAAGACAGCUGAAUGAUUGUCAAUCUGAAGGUUUUACAUGACUAGCUG